CUGUAGGCCAGAUGUGGGAAACGCAAAAACAGCAAACAGCCUAAGCCAUGCUCGUUCCUUUCUCUCCUAGAGGCGUGAAAUAAAAUAUUUUGAAAUUGGUCCUUGGAGCACCUCAAAUAGCGUCUAUCUGACUAUUCCAAUUACCGAUCACUUUUCCACAAAACACUGUGAGGACCAUUUGCAGAAGAUCGAAACUUGCUAGCAUGUUAUCACUGUAAGAAACGACAUCAUUAAUUUUCCUCUGUGGUAAAACUAGACCGAGCCUUGAGUGUACGAAUCCAUAUUUACAGUUGGGAGACAGCUACUCUCGUCGACACGGGUUGUUUUCCUAGCCUGCUGCCAACAUCGGAGGGACUCUCAUUUUGAACUUGUCUGUGCACAGCAUCAAGUGUGCUCCUGGAAGAGAGGCAACAGCGAGGAAAUUCUAAAAGACCGAGUCCUAGUCUCAGAAGAAAUCGCCUGCAAGGUUGAGAGACAGAAAGAAAAUCCCUGGAGACUCCACGUCUAACCCAGGCUAAAGGCAAAGCUUUACAGCGGUGUGUAGGAUCUCUCUCUCGUUCGCUACAGCCCUUGCCACCGAAGUACCAGACGCUUUUAGUGUGUGAAAGACCAGGCGUUGAUUUAAUGUAUCUGGAAGGGAGAGGGGUUAGAGGAUGCAACUUAACAAAUAUUCCUCUAUUCUCGCUCAUGAAAACAUCCAAAACAUCUUUCGGCGUUUGCAUUUAAUGACUGCAACGUGAACGAUGGAGGCGAGAAGCAGUCGAGGGAAUGGCUCGUUUCUCUUAGUGUUGGCUCGGAAUUGUCAAACAGUUACUUUCUGUUCAUUGUAGGGAAAUAGGUCACACUUUGAGUGAAAAGGACAGUUGGUUCAAGCCAAUAACCCUUUGUUCAAGUGCUGUUUGACAGUCCCUGAGCAGAACAUCGUUGCGUGAAGUUUCGUCUCCUGUCCAAUACCUUUAGAUACAUUAUUAAAUCCCAAAGUCAUAUUCCACGGAGCGCCUGGAAGGAAUAUUUCGUCGAAACGCGUCUUGCCAACCAACGUGUUAGCACCCGUAAGGAAGCCUGCUGGACUGGCCCGAGAACCCAGCCGCCAGGAUGGACACGAAUCCCUCAUUAGCAGUUCCAACUUGAAAAGCCAACUGGGCUGAUCCAACACCACCAUCCAGGAGAUUCCCAAAGGCUCAAAAGGCAAUCUGUGCACCCACCCCACGGGAACCUUGCCCCUUCCUCUGCGUCUCCCUCCGGUUUUAAAUUGGGGUGAUUGCUAGUUCGCUUUCGGAUUUUUUCUCCCAGACAUUCGGGGGCUGCUUUUGUGGCUCCUUUGUUAACAGGCUGUCGUGCAGCUUUCCCCCCUUUUCUUUCUCCAAUGCCUAUUUGCCUGGUAUCGGCUCGUCUCCGGGGCAACCGCGGGGAAGAUUCGGAGCCCCAGGCGCCGGGAGGGGGAAGGGGCGGAGCCCGGCGGAGUGGGGGCGGGGAGGGGCGCGAGAGGAGGGGCGGAGGGAGUGGGUCAGGAGGAGACCCCAGGACCCACGAGGAGCAGAUGGCCGCUCCGGGGCGGAGCCCGUGAGCGUCUGGGGAGCGGGAGAGCCAAUCCGUCCCUGCAGCAGCGCGGGAGCGAGCCAACGAGAGUAAACACGCGGGCUGUGCACCCCCCCCCCUCCGUCCCUACUUUGCAGCUGAAGACGUGAUUUCCUUUGGAUAAGAAAGCUCAUUGCCAGUGUGGUUGGAAAGCUGGCGGUCCCCCGGAGAAUGGGUUGGGAGGCGGGUUUGGGCGGAGCUCUGAAAUCUCCCUCUCCCUUUCCUCCCCUCCCACCCCAACUCAGGCACCCACUAAGCCUGGCGGGAAUGGAAGAGGCGGGUGGAUGGGAGAGCGGGGCGGGGCUGGGAAAAGGGAAGAGAUUGACUCUUGCUAUGAACCAUAAGGAAUGCCAGCAAGCUAUUGGAGCUGCUGGUCUUUACCUGCUGCUGUUCCCCUACAGUUUGGUGGUCUCCCCGUAGAGUUAAGGGUUUCGCGGGGUGGGGGGGGAACACCCGCCAAAUGCAUUUAUGUAAGUGAGAUUAAAGAACCCAUAAGGACAUUAAAAAUUGGAAGCAGGAGCCUAUAGCCAACUC
ensembl:processed_transcript 5930403N24Rik RIKEN cDNA 5930403N24 gene